rnacentral:rRNA from 1 species
AACCUGGUUGAUCCUGCCAGUAUUAUAUGCUCAAGUCAAGGGCUAAGCCAUGCACGUCUAAGAACGUAGGCUUCAGCCAUCAAUCUGUGGAAGGCUCAUUACACGGGUUAGAAACUCUCUUACCGCGCCAUUCUCAUUGGGAUAACACUGCUAAAUGUAGUGAUAAUACCUAAAGUACGCAUGCUGCAUCAGGCAUGCACCUGAUGUCCACUGCAGCGCAGACACCAUGCGGCGUGAAUGCAGGACAUCACCCAGAGAAGCACUGUCUUCUCAUAGGAACCGUUGAUCAUCAGCGGUCGACUAGUAGUCUUACUUCUCUAUCAGCUUGGCGGUUAGGUAAGGACAAAUCGUGGCAACAACGGAUACGGGGAAUCAGUGUUCGAUUCCGGAGAGGGAGCCUGACAAACGGCUACCACAUCCAAGGACGGCAGCAGGCGCGAAAAUUACCCAAUCAUAACACCUCAUGGAGGUAGCGACAACUAAUAGCGACCUUCUGGAUUCUUCUAGAAGGGUACCACCAUCCGGUGGUUUGCAAGUGAGUUCAAUCGUAAAUAACUGAGCGAGUAACAAUUGGAGGACAAGUUUCGGUGCCAGCACCCGCGGUAAUUCCGACUCCAAGAGUGUACACCUACAUUGCUGCAGUUAAAACCGCUCGUAGUCUAUACAAAGACAAAUCACCAUAGGGCACGUGGCCAGCAGCGCGCAUUUGCCUGCUGAUUUCUGUUUGUGGUGGCGGCCCGUGCGACCUCAUUCACGCGGUGUGUCUGCGCCACUGACAGAACGUCGUGCCACUAUGUGAUUAGGCUUUUUCGAUCGUGAACAAAACAGUGCGAUCAAAGCAGGCACUGUAAUAUCAGCUCGAAUGUACUAGCAUGAAACCGAAUAAAUAAGCUGUUGCCCAUAUGCAUCAGUUGCAUCCAAUAAUAGGAGGCUGAUGUAGGGUACUGGUAUUGCUGGCGCAGAGGUGAAAUUCCGACAUUCUAGCAAGACCGUCAGAAGCGAAAGCUGACACAUCUCUUGCGCCUCCAUUGAUCAGGAACGAAAGUUAGGGGAUCGAAGAUGAUUAGAUACCGUCGUAGUCCUAACCGUAAACUAUACCACCAGGCGGUUGGUGGAACACAACAGAGAUUCUCUCAGAUGCCCAGGGAAACCAAAAGGUUUUGGGUUCUGGGGGGAGUAUAGUCGCAAGGCUGAAACUUAAAGGAAUUGACGGAAAGGCACCACCAGGGGUGGAGUCUGCGGCUUAAUUCGACUCAACACGGGAAAACUCACCAAGUCCAGAUAGUGUAAUGAUUGACAGGUUAAUAGCCCUUUCUUGAUUCUCUAAUAGGUGGUGCAUGGCCGUUCUUAGUUCGUGGAGUGAUCUGUCUAGUUAAUUCUGUUAACGAACGAGACCUUUACCAUUGAUUGAGAAGUUGAUAGCUUGCUUCGGUGAGCACAACUUGUAUAGGUAAUGCGCGGCAUCCUCUGCCACAUACCGCUUCACACGCUACAAUGGGACGAUACUGCGAAUAAAGCGUAAGGAAGGUAGAGGCAAUAACAGGUCUGUGAUGCUCUAAUAUGUCUUGGGCUGCACGCGUACUACAAUGGUGUUACCAACAGGUAAGCACUGGUUGUGGCGGCCGGAUCGACAUUCACUUGUCGCCGCCGGCCCGGCACAUCCUCCAACAUUACUAAGAUGAAGGUAAUCCCAAAAGUGGCAUCCUGUCUGGAAUAGAAGACUGUAACGUCAACUUGAACAAGGAAUCCCCCGUAAGCGUGAGUCAACAUCUCGCAUUGACUACGUCCCUGCCUUUUGUACACACCGCCCGUCGCUCCUACCGUUGGAGUUGAAGGUGAGUCUGGCGGAUGGCGCCCAGAUGAGCCUACCGUAUCACGGAAAGCUCAGCAUCCAGAAACCAGACAAAUCUUUUUCUCUGUAGGAAGGAGAAGUCGUAACAAGGUUUUCGUAGGUGAACCUGCAGAAGGAUCA